UUGACUUUCCUAACCAACAAAAUUGAAACACAUGUCAAACAUGUGUUUCAAAAAAGUUUUAUUUUUAAUUUUAAAUUUUUCAAAACAAUUUUCUUAAAACAAACAUAUAUAAAAUAAACAAUCUUUUCAAUUCAACUUUCAAAAUUAAUUAAAGAUGAUUAAAAUUAUUAUGUCUAAAUAAAAUAAACAAAAUUAAACAGACGUGACAAUGUCGAAAUGUAUCUGAUGAGGACACAGAAUUCUGUGUCGAAACGCGUCACAUUUUUAUGUCAAUUUUUGUAAUAAACUAAAAGCCAUUUAGGCCAAAAUGAAAAAAAACAUCUUUUAAUUGAAAUUUAUAUUAUGUUACUUUUUAACU